rnacentral:lncRNA from 1 species
AUGUGUUGCUGUUCGUCUUCCUGCUCUUAUUCUUCUUUUAACACUACAAGCAGCCUAGAUGCAUCUCAAGCCUGCUGCUGCCCUCCACAGGUUUUAAAAAGAGAUGCCUGUUCAGUUAUUGCAGGAGAAGAAGAAGCCCCUGCAUCAACAAAAACUAAAAUCCUUCUGUCAGUGAGGAGGAAUCCACCGAAAGCCUCAAACUAAAGCAGGGGAGGGCAGACAAAUGAAGGACGGCUGAAUCGAAAAGCUCUGAUGAAAAUCAGGUUGAGUUGCCAGCGGCUGUUUGACUGCACUCACCCUCCGGUUUCCUCUGUUGUUUCAGCGGGAUGUCAGCUCCAGUGAGGGAGGAGAAGGGUCCCACAUUCUGCUGGCUGAGGCAGCAAUGUUCCUGGCAACAGGCGUGUUUCUGUACAAAAUGUAAAACAAUGUGCAGCACAGCCCGCAGCUUGUUACCAGUAACGUUAACUCAUUUGCACCUGAUGCACUGUGUAGACUAAUACAUUACUGACACUGACAUCCAACUUAGACUUGUUCACACCCUUUUUCUAUACGUCCCAUAUUGUUGUUGCAUUAUUUUAACUAAAUGAGACAACUCUGUGUCUGUUAUUGUCCUGGAUAACGAGCCAGCUAACAAUAACAACAACACUAUACCAACUAAUAUAACUAAGCUAGCUCAGAACCAAAUGAGGUAGCCUAAAUUAACGAAAAUUAGCUAUUACAUAUAUCAUAUACACACUACUGUAAUAUACAUAACAGUUAAAUGUAGCGUAAAUGAAGCAGCCCGAGAUACAUUAACUACUGACAGGCUUGUCAUACGUAAGAAAAUGAAGGGAAAGGCGGUUAAAAUCGCUAUAAACUUCCUGUAGUGAAGCAGGAGUCAGUCUGAGGCAAGCCCGGGCUGAGGCAUAGCGGGGAGAGGUCCGGCGAUAUAACACCUGCUGUAACUGCAGGGAAACGGGUGUUUGACGGCCAAAUGCUCCAAAUAAAAUAAAGAAAUAGGCCUAUCCGUCGUCAAACCUGGUAAAUUGUUUCUGACAUUUUGAGGCCUAUAUAAACGAAGUCAUUCUUAACAAAUAUCCUCACCUCCUUUCUCCAUGUCUGCCAUUUUCAAGGUUAAAGCAGCAGUGGGUCAUUUUUAUGAAAAUCAUUUUAGGUCAUAUUUGCUUAAGCUAUAUUCUGACAGUAGUACACGAGACAGAUAAUCAGGUGGCGUCAAAUACAGACGCUUUGGGACAAUGGGAAUGAGACUCAACAAUCAGUUAUCUUCAAGCCUGCAACCAAAAGCAUCUUUAUAUCUUGCUUGGCUCUGAUUGGUUGUUUUCGUUCAGGCCUGGUGGAUUCUUACAAAUUCUAUUAGGAGCACUAGGAGGAAUCAUAUAUUUUUCACGGACUAUCUGUUUGAUGUGCUACUGCCAGGACACAGUGAAAAUUUCAGCUAUUUAUUUCUUAUAAAAGUUACCUACUGCAGCUUUAAAGCCACAGGUUGAUUUUCAUCCCAAGGCUUUAAUGAGUGUAUUUUCCUUUAUUCUGUUAUUUUUAGUUGCCAGUCAGACAUUAUCUCAGUAGACAGAAGUCACUAAGUGAAUGAAGAGAGUGAGGUUUUGACAGCCGAAGCAAUUUUCAUAGUGAGGUAGACAUCCAAGCAGACAGGUCUGACUACACAGGGCACUGUGGAAGUGGUAUGCUCUCAACUUUAGCAUGAAAUUUGGUAUGCAUGCCAAGCUUCAAAGUGAGUUACAAUUUGAGUUUCAAGUUGAAUUUUUGCCAUGUCAUCACUGGCUAUGAGUUUUUGAUGGUUGGAAAUCUCUAAAUUAAAAUAUUUAGAAUUUUCACAGCAGAUUGAAUUCCAAAAUGGAUGCUAUUAUGUUUCACACUGUUUUAAUGACAUGAACAUUGAGGGAACCAACUGCAGCAGAGUACAGUGGCAGAGAACAUCAUCAUGUUUCAACCUUGAUGAAAUACUGAGAUGUUUUUAUCCUUUUUGAAAAAGGGAAGCAACAAAGACCACCUAUAGGAUUCAAAGCCAGGACACUGCAAGAAUGUAGUAUGUGUCCCAGACCAGGUCCAAAAGGUCACCCCUCCGCUUUUAGUCCUGCUCCCAUUUGAGACUUUCUUUAAUUACACUUGCUGCUGAUUCAUGUAAACCAUAUUAAGAAUAUGGAUUUUGACUUCCCUUUUGGGCAAUUGUAAUCAUCAACAGCCGCGGCCAUUUAGGUAGUUCCCAAACAUUGUCUUUCAUGAAAACAGUCUGUUUAAAAGCUACUAUAAUUAAUACAUGUUGGCUUGGCAGAUAUCACAACCAGCAUCAGUCAUACAGACAACUUCUUCAUAGCUGCUGCCAACGUCAAGUUUACUGUCACAUGCAUUAGUCAAACUGUUGAUAUAAAGAAAGGUUCUUUGAGGACAACCUCAUAAAUACCUUUAACACCGCUUAUUCCCCCCUCCUGCCAAACAGCCAGAGGGUUCUAAAUAAAACUAGAUAUGCCAAGUGAGCUGGCAGGAGGAACAAUGCUUUUAGUGAGUUCCUCAGUGAUCUGGGCCACGAGGUGGGGGAGGGAGGGCAAAUUAAAGAUGAAAACUGUGGGCUGAAAGGGCUUAAGGUAAUGAUUCAUGGCCGGUUUCAGUGAAUGUUUCUUCAUUUAUUAAAUGCAUCAGUCCGUUUCUUCGUUGACUGCAAGCCAAGACACAGUUUUUGCUGAUUGUGACUUUGCCUAAAUGGGAAAUUGAGUGCUGAAUGUCGGGAGUGCUUUUCACGGAGUGCUUAGCGCUCCUGCUUCGUCUCCUCCAUGCUGUGUUCAUGACUUCAUUUCUUAUUGGCUGCUUCUGAAAGAAAUGUAUUGAAUAGCACUUAAGAGCUACAUCAUCAACAUUAAUUAAGAACUUAUUACAAGGGAUUCACCAGAGGCAGCAGUGCAUUUUAUUGCAGAUAUAAAACUACCCUGAAAAAGUUAAAAAUGACUGCCAUUGCAAAAAUUUGCAAAAGCUGUCAUUAUUUUAAAGGACAAGAGUGUAGGAUUUAGUGGCAUCUAAGUAAAGUUGCUGAUUGCAACACCCUCGCCUCACCCUCCUGUCCCAAGUGUGUAGGAGAAACAACUGUGGCUGCAAAAAUCUGGGCCCCAUCUCAGAGGUAGACACCCUUUGGGUUCAGAGCUGUAUGUGGCUCUUUAGCCCCUCUCCAGUGGCACUAGGGUGGCCAUUCGUCCGGCUUUAGGCCGGACAGUCCGGCUUUUAAAUACUCAUUUGUCCUCCUUUUAAGAAAAUAACUAAAAAGGUCCGCCUUUUGACACAUUUCCUUAGUAAGUUUAAUACUUAUUGGCUAAAAAUGUGUGUCAAAAUAAGUAAUUUCAUUGGUUACAUUUUCGUGUCCUGACCUUCAACACAUGGCUAAUUUUAAUAUUCAAGUGAGCCAUGUGUUGAUUCGCCACAACAGGCACUCGCCUUGCUACCACCAGGCUGUCAAUCAAGCUCUCAGCAACAGAGAACAUAACGUGAGCUAAUGUCGGUAGUUGGACUGAAAUUCUGACAAUGCUCAUACUCAUAUGUAUAGGCAAAGUCUAUACAUCUGAAACAGAAGGUGCUGUAUUUUGUUUACCCUUUAUCUAUCCAGAUAAAAACAUUAAGAACAGUUUCUGUAUGAUGUUUAUUAGACCUAUGUAAUCUGAAUUGGAGGGGCACGUUGUCAUGAGCUGUAUCUUGUAUAUUUAUUAUUAGCUAUGUGGUAUGUGUAUGCACCUUUAUGUAAUCUGGUGGAAAAACAUAUUCAAAUUUGUCCUCCUUUUUGAUGUGAAGGAAAUGGCCACCCUAAGUGGCACCCUGCGGCUUUGAGUAAAAAAUUAUGUGGAAACAAAUAAAGGUUACUUUUAAAAUUUUUGUCAUUGCUGUUACAUUCUCCAGUUGUAAAAAUGAGUAACCAGUUAACAUUUCAUCAACUAAAAUGAGCAUAACAAUACGUCCUGCCCAGGCGCCCUUUUCUCUUUAUUUUGCCAAACCUCAAUAACGGUGGCUUCGACUCUCAGAGGAAAAUAUAGAAUUGAAUAGAUUUGUUUGAUUUCACAGCCAACACUGCGAGCUUACCAGUAUGUUUGAUCUGCAGUGAGAAAUUAGCAUUAUAAGGCUCAAAUAUGUUUUGCGGCUCCAGACAGAUUUGGCUCUUUUGAUAGUAAAGGUUGCUGACCCCUGUCCUAUCUAGGAGCCAGUGUUUGGUUUGUCCAUUCUGGGCUACUGUAGAAACAUAGCGGUUCAACAUGGCGGACUCAGUAGAAGAGGACCCACUCCCUCUGUACAUUAAACAGCUCAUUCUAAGGUAACAAAAACACAACAUGUCUUAUAUUCAGAUUAUUAUAAACUAAUAACUAAUAAACUAAGACCUUUAAGUUGCUUUAAAGGUCAUUUCCUGCAACAACAAAAAAAAAACCUAUGUUCCUUACUAUUGCUUUUAUCAAUAUAUCAUGAGUGACUGCCACUCUCAUCAAACAUCUCAUUUGCAGAGCUAUUUUUAAACAUUCCACUUUGAGCUGUUGGACAAGGUGUUCACUGCUUUGUCAGUGUCA